GCGGGCGUAGCUCAGGUGUAGAGCAUAACCUUGCCAAGGUUAGGGUCGUGAGUUCGAAUCUCAUCGCCCGCUCCA
rnacentral:tRNA from 1 species